AAUUAUGAGAAUAAUACGAGGAAAAUUGAUGUGAAAAUCUAGGGUAUUACAUUCUCUCCUCUAGAUCUCUCCCUUAAGCGAAUUAAAAUCCGUCUGUCGCUAGGUUGAUUUAGGGUGUUGUUGGAUUGGGGUUUUGCUUGGUUGAUAUAAAGUUUUGUUGGAUUGAGGAUUUGCCUGAUUUAGGGUUUGUUGAUGUUCAUAUUUGGGGGUGCAAGGCUUUUUGAGAUUUUCUAGAUGAACAAGUGAGUAAUCAUAUAAAAACCCUCAGUCGCUCUUGGCCAAGCAAUCUCCUCUCUCCUCUUCGCCCGCCCCAAAAAGCUACACGACGCCGUUUCGCAGCUCUCUCCUCUUCCUCCUCUCGCCUCUGUCUCCGGCUCCCUCGACGACUCGCUCCGCUUCCUCCACAACUACCUAAACGACGCCGCUUGCCGAAACGAGCCUCUCGAUGAAAUCCUCAUCCCUAUGCUCGAUCACUAUUUGAGGAACAAGAACUUGAAGCACGGCGGCCAAGUUUUGGUGGUUUUGUGAUGGAGUAUGAUUUUCAUGGGGUUUGGCGCCACCUCGGGGAGUGUGUCGCCGAAGCCGCAAGUGCCUUCGGUUGUGACGACUGUGCCACCGCAGAGUCAGCCGAGGCUGCAGUUGAUGGGGUUGUCGGUUCCCGUGCCCGUGCCGCCGCCACAGCCACCUGUGCCUUCAGUUAGGCUGCAUGUAUCGGAAGAUGUGAGUUGAGCUCAAACCUAGAGGUGAUUUGAGAGCUGUUGUUUAGUCUGUGAGCUUGUGUAUUCUGGGGUUUAGUGAACAAUGUUGAAAUCCUUGUUGAAGGUUUGAUUCUGGAGGGUGAAGUUUUAAUGUUGUUGGAUGUUUUCAAAUUGUUUGAUGGGGCUUUUUGAUUUUGGCUUUGAACUGAACUAGUCAAUCUGUAAAUGAAAUGGGAGUAUUGAAUUUGCAUUUAUGAAGUAAUUGCAUUUGAUCUAUA